rnacentral:rRNA from 1 species
UACGUAGGCAGCGAGCGUUGUUCGGAAUUACUGGGCGUAAAGAGUGUGUAGGCGGUGCUCUAAGUUCGGUGUGAAAUCUCCUGGCUCAACUGGGAGGGUGCGCCGGAAACUGGAGUGCUUGAGCGUGGGAGAGGAAAGCGGAAUUCCUGGUGUAGCGGUGGAAAUGCGUAGAGAUCAUGAGGAAGACCAGUGGCGAAGGCGGGUCUCUGGACAGUUCCUGACACUGAGGCACGAAGGCCAGGGGAGCAAACGGG